rnacentral:rRNA from 1 species
GAGACUCUGUGCGCGUGCAUAUCAAUAAGCGGAGGAAAAGAAACUAACAAGGAUUCCCCUAGUAACGGCGAGUGAAGCGGGAAGAGCUCAAAUUUGAAAUCUUAAAGGGUUUCCCUUUACGAAUUGUAGUUUAAAGAAGUGUUUUCUGUUGGAGUUUCGGUAAAAGUUCUUUGGAAUAGGACAUCAUAGAGGGUGAGAAUCCCGUAUUUGACCGUUACUUUCCAGCUGUGUGAUACACUUUCAAAGAGUCGGAUUGUUUGGGAAUGCAGUCCAAGAUGGGUGGUAAAUUUCAUCUAAAGCUAAAUAUUGGCGAGAGACCGAUAGCGAACAAGUACCGUGAGGGAAAGAUGAAAAGAACUUUGAAAAGAGAGUUAAACAGUACGUGAAAUUGUCAAAAGGGAAGCGUUUGACACCAGUGUUGUUUAGUUGAAAAUCAAUUCAAUAAUUUUUGAUUUUAAGUAGUAUUGACUUCAUCAGCUUGCUGCUUUCUUCUCAGAAAUUAUUGAAUGCACUUUUCAGUUAACAAGUCAACAUCAAUUUCUUUUGUUGUAAAAGGGUAAGAGGAAGGUGGCUUGCGCUUCGGCUCAAGUGUUUAUAGCCUUUUAUCUCUGCAAUCGGAGAGAUUGAGGUCUGCAGCGUAGAUCCUUCGGGGUUAGAUACAUUGGUGCUAAGCUAUAGCUUUUCAUAGACAACUUGUUGACUAUAUUUAGUCUUGUAGGCUUACUCGCUUAUGCUAUUUUACCUACGCUUAGGAUGUUGACAGCAGUAUAGACUGU